rnacentral:ncRNA from 1 species
UGAAAGGGGUGCCUGUUAAGGCUGAGAUCAGACCCGUUGAACCUGAUGCGGAUAAUGCCGCCGUAGGGAGAC